rnacentral:rRNA from 1 species
UACGAAGGGGGCUAGCGUUGCUCGGAAUCAUUGGGCGUAAAGGGUGCGUAGGCGGCGCGGUAAGUCGGGUGUGAAAUCUCGGAGCUUAACUCCGAAACUGCAUUCGAUACUGCCGUGCUUGAGGACUGGAGAGGAGACUGGAAUUUACGGUGUAGCGGUGAAAUGCGUAGAUAUCGUAAGGAAGACCAGUGGCGAAGGCGGGUCUCUGGACAGUUCCUGACGCUGAGGAGCGAAAGCGUGGGGAGCAAACAGG